GACGAACGCUGGCGGCGUGCUUAACACAUGCAAGUCGAACGCUGAAGCUUGGUGCUUGCACUGGGUGGAUGAGUGGCGAACGGGUGAGUAAUACGUGAGUAACCUGCCCUUGACUCUGGGAUAAGCCUGGGAAACUGGGUCUAAUACUGGAUACGACAUGUCACCGCAUGGUGGUGUGUGGAAAGGGUUUUACUGGUUUUGGAUGGGCUCACGGCCUAUCAGCUUGUUGGUGGGGUAGUGGCUCACCAAGGCGACGACGGGUAGCCGGCCUGAGAGGGUGACCGGCCACACUGGGACUGAGACACGGCCCAGACUCCUACGGGAGGCAGCAGUGGGGAAUAUUGCACAAUGGGCGGAAGCCGGAUGCAGCGACGCCGCGUGAGGGAUGACGGCCUUCGGGUUGUAAACCUCUUUCAGCACGGAAGAAGCGAAAGUGACGGUACGUGCAGAAGAAGCGCCGGCUAACUACGUG
rnacentral:rRNA from 1 species